GAUGAACGCUAGCGGGAGGCUUAAUACAUGCAAGUCGAGGGGUAACAGGGGCUUCGGCCCGCUGACGACCGGCGCACGGGUGAGUAACGCGUACGCAACUUACCUCCAAGCGAGGGAUAGCCCUGGGAAACUGGGAUUAAUACCUCAUGUGAUUAUGAUGCCGCAUGGUGUUAUAAUUAAAGUUCAGGCGCUUGGAGAUGGGCGUGCGUCCUAUUAGCUAGUUGGUGAGGUAACGGCUCACCAAGGCGACGAUAGGUAGGGGGCGUGAGAGCGUGGCCCCCCACACGGGUACGUGAGACACGGACCCGACUCCUACGGGAGGCAGCAGUAAAGGAAUAUUGGACGAAUAGGGCGCAAGCCUGAUCCAGCAUCCCGCCGUGCAGGAUGACAGCCCUACGGGUUGUAAACUGC
rnacentral:rRNA from 1 species